rnacentral:rRNA from 1 species
AUGAAUGCUUGGCAAACUCGCGCUGAUGAUUACUCCCUCGUUCAGUGCGGCAUGCUUUACAGCUUAGAACCGGGGCUCCAAAAGCGUUUUGAGCAUCACGGAGCAUAUGAGAUGUUUGAAGAGCUGAAACUAGUUUUUCAAGCUCAUGCCCGGGUCGAGAGAUAUGAUGUCUCCGACAAGUUCUACAGUUGUAAGAUGGAGGAGAACAGUUCUGUCAGUGAGCACAUCCUGAAGAUGUCUGGGUUGCACAACCGUAUGACCCAGCUGAACAUUAACCUCCCAGAUGAGGCGGUCAUUGACAGAAUCCUCCAGUCGCUCCCACCAAGCUACAAGAGCUUUGUGAUGAACUACAACAUGCAAGGAAUGGAAAAGACCAUUCCUGAAUUGUUCUCGAUGCUGAAGUCAGCAGAGGCUGAAAUCAAGAAAGAACAUCAAGUGUUGAUGGUCAAUAAGACCACUAAGUUCAAGAAGGGCAAGGGUAAGAAGAACUUCAAGAAAGACGGCAAAGAUGUUGCCGCGCCUGGUAAGCCAGUUACCGGGAAGAAGUCAAAGAAAGGACCCAAGCCUGAGACUGAGUGCUUUUAUUGCAAGGGGAAGGGUCACUGGAAGCGGAACUGCCCCAAAUACUUAGCGGAUAAGAAGACCGGCAACACCAAAGGAGCUGCGGAAUAA